GCAUUCGCUGAUACAGAGAUGGAAGGUAUGGCUCUGUACAUCAGUAUUUCUCGGUCCAGUCGUUCACAAAAUGUCAGAGUCUGUUGUGGGGCUGUUUGUAAAUCAUGCUCCUCCUCUGCAAAAAGCUUCUCCAAGGCUGUCUUCCUGGGGUGUUUUAUAUGUGGUGCCUGAAAGGUUUACCAAGUAAAUCUGAUGUCCAAAAAACAAAUAUACUUAUGUACUAAUUCUAUUAUUAAAGCUAGUGCUACUGGUAAGGGAACUGUUACUUUACCACCAAAAUGUUUAGAUUAAUGAUUUGAUUAGUUUAUUGUAUCUUCAUGCCACAUUUACUAUGAGUAAAAUGACUUUCUACCUCCUCCUGUUGCUUCUCUUCCACCUCCUGAGAUUGUCCUAGACUCGGUAUGUUGUCUUCCUGCUCUGACUGCUUAAAAGAAAAAUAGAACAUGUCAGCCCUAUGAAAGGAACCAGAGUUGAGCAUCACAACAGAAAUAAGCCACAAACUGUAAAUCAAAAACCUUUUCUGUCUCUCUGGGUGUGGCUGCUACAAUUGCUGCAGACCUCAGCCUGUCCCAAAUGUUAUGGUUUUACUUUUGUGUCAAUAUUAUUCAAUCAAACAUACAGUAUUUGAGAGCAAAACUAUUAAAUUGUUGUAAAAAAAAUGUAUUCGCAUUUAAAAAAAAUUAUCUUACAAUUAUUUUAGUUACAAAAUACAGUAAUUGUUAACCAAAUUUUUUGCUAUAUGAAUUUUUCUUUGAGGAGUCUCAUCGCGUGUCCCUACAUUUUGCUCUCUGCUACGCUGUUUUUGUUUGCGGAUCAAAAAUCUUUGCUUUUGAGUCAAAAAGUUUUGGAUGCAAGUUACAAGCGUCUCAGUGGGCGGGAUCAACCUAGUUGAAUGAAAAACCCGUUUCUAUUGGCCACUACUGUCACCAUUUGGCCACGCCCACCACGGAAGUCUGCCACCGAGGAGAGCGAUGCUGUGCUAUGGAGAGCGGCAUUGUUUGUAAGAUGAUUCUUCACUAGAGGUUACAUUGAAGUCAGGCAAUGACAGGAAGGAUGGCUGGGGAUUCCAAGAUCUGAUAAAAAAAAGUUACAUGAAGAUACUUGGACUACUCAUGGGACCAAAGAGCUAUUACACCAGCUCCAGUCUGGAUCCUGUCUCUAUCAGAUGACCAUACACAUAAGGAAAGUUGACAUCAGCCAUCACGAGGACUUCAAAACUGUUCAAAGCGCUAUACAAAUAAAUGUGAACAAAAUUGAAAUGUUUGAAGUCAACAGCAGAGAUGAGGAUGCCACACAAUGCAUCCUCUCCACAACAGAUCUUGCAUUACAAAGUGAUAUUGACAUCUUUCUUGGCCUCUCUGAUUACAAUCCUCCCAAUCAUUCCUGCAACACAAGAAGCACAAAUUACUUUUAUGACACAAAUCACAGUUUGUCAUUAAAGUCUGGUCUACUUGCUACUUUUAAAAGAUCUUCAUAUCAAAAUGUCUUAAAUACUGGAUUUUAUUAAUUUUGUUUAGUUACCAAUAUAUUUAUUUACAUUUACACAUUUUUCAUAUUCAUUCAUUUUAUCCUAAACUGUUUUGCUUGUUGUUUCAUUACUGCAGAUUAUUUAUGUUGGGUGACGCAUUGUCUUCACAAGUAGAUAUAGGUAUAUCAGUGGUCUCCUCUGGCUAAAUAUUUUUGAUAAUGUCAUAAGACAAAGUAGCAUUGUGUAAUAUUUUAUAUGUUGUUUAAAAUAUGUUACAAGACGAGUCAGACAGACCAUUGCCAGUGCAGCUAAGAUUAUUCAAUAAACCAUUUUUAUUUUAUUCUUUAUCAUUUUGUCCCCUGCCUGAUGCUCUCAUCUCUGUCUACCUUGUGGUUGAGUAAAAGCAUUAACUCAACCACAGAGUUUUCUAUCUUUGAGCAAUGGACAAAGUCAUUUUCCUGACCAAGAGAGGUCUAGUAAAACUAAGAACUAGUGAACUGGACUUGCUUCUUGUAUCGGUUUAAUCUAACAUUUUUGGCAUAGUCAUAUUUGGAUCUAUCAAUGUCAUUAGAUGCCCACAUGAUCUUACUCUAUUAUAUGUCAUAGCUGCUAUGCUAGAAUUAAUUGUAUAAAAUAAUUGUAUAAUUUAUCAUUUCUGUUCAAAAAAAGAAAUACUAAUUUAGUAGUCAAUUACGCAAAAAUAUUCAGCCUGCAACAGCAAACUUGCACGAUUGCGUCACAUCAUGAGUAAAUUUUAUGUCCGUAUGCAGUAAGUGAUUAACUUUCUAAUAAAAGCG